UGGGUUGGCCAAAAAGUUCAUUCGGCUUUUUCCAUAAGAUGUUAUGAACAAACUUUUUGGCCAACCCA
rnacentral:miRNA from 1 species